AUUGAACGCUGGCGGCAUGCCUUACACAUGCAAGUCGAACGGCAGCGGACCUUCGGGUGCCGGCGAGUGGCGAACGGGUGAGUAAUAUAUCGGAACGUACCUUUCAGUGGGGGAUAACGUAGCGAAAGUUACGCUAAUACCGCAUAUUCUGUGAGCAGGAAAGCAGGGGAUCGCAAGACCUUGCGCUGAUUGAGCGGCCGAUAUCAGAUUAGCUAGUUGGUGAGGUAAAGGCUCACCAAGGCGACGAUCUGUAGCGGGUCUGAGAGGAUGAUCCGCCACACUGGAACUGAGACACGGUCCAGACUCCUACGGGAGGCAGCAGUGGGGAAUUUUGGACAAUGGGCGCAAGCCUGAUCCAGCCAUGCCGCGUGAGUGAAGAAGGCCUUCGGGUUGUAAAGCUCUUUCGGCCGGGAAGAAAUCGCACAGGUUAAUACCCUGUGUGGAUGACGGUACCGGAAUAAGAAGCACCGACUAACUACGUG
rnacentral:rRNA from 1 species